AUUGAACGCUGGCGGCAGGCUUAACACAUGCAAGUCGAGCGAGCGGCGGACGGGUGAGUAAUGUCUGGGAAACUGCCUGAUGGAGGGGGUUAACUACUGGAAACGGUAGCUAAUACCGCAUACCAUCAGAUGUGCCCCGAGGGGAUUAGCUAGUAGGUGGGGUGAUGGCUCACCUAGGCGACGAUCCCUAGCUGGUCUGAGUGGAUGACCAGCCACACGGCAACAGAGACACGGUCCAGACGCCUACGGUAGGCAGCAGGGGGGAAUAGUGGACAAUGGGCGCAAGCCUGAUGCAGUCAUGCCGCAUGUGUGAAGAAGGCCUUCGGGUUGUAAAGCAGUUUCGGCGAGGAGGCGUUACUCGCAGAAGAAGCACCGGCCAACUCCGUGCCAGCAGCCGCGGUAAUAC
rnacentral:rRNA from 1 species